CUAAUAUCUACUGAUGCCACUGAGUUGCCACAUAGGGGGAGGCAGCGGGAACCUUCAGUAGUUAGGAGCCACCACCUGAGAGUUCAGGAAGCCUCCUCACGGCUGGCGUAGGCUCUCCAACGCCUGGUCUUCCUGCCCUGACUUCCUACCUGUUAGCAGCCCCAGGCAGCCAGGGGGUGCUCCUGACUUGGCACUGCUCUCCCCUUUGCUCCUUGCUGGGCACCAACUCUCACUUGGAGGGGUCUCUAGCAUGCUCUGUCUCAGCCAACAAGGCCCGUGGAAGACAGGCUCCCUGAGGGCGCCCAUAGGCCCACCCAUGCUGUUUGGCCCCUCCCUUUCCAAGGGAAGUCCUGCCAGCCCUCCCCUCUUGCCAGCCUCUGUUUCCAGCAAAGCACGGCCUCUGCCUCUCCAAGGCCAUGUCCAGACCACAGUUUGCACUUGGUUCCAGCAUCACCUGGGCCCCUACGUCUCCUGACCCUCAAACUGUCCCCUCUCUCCUGCUUGGUCUCUGUGUGAUGCUGGCACUCUCCUAGACAAUCUCAUUAACCUGGAGGGAGAAGCCCAGCCGCACAGACCCCUCUGUGGACUGCCAGCCUGCCGUGGUCACUCCUAGGCAGACCUCACCUCACUGUGGCCAUGAACACAGACCAUGGCACCUGCUCCCACUUCCCUACCCCAUGGUCCCCCAGCUCUAGGUGCUGUGCUCCCCCUCCCCAGGAUGGCCACCCCAUUCUGGCCUCAGGAACUCCCCUUCUUGGCCAGAGCUCCCACGACAUUCUCAUCACUGCCCUUGGCCCUGCCUGUUGGUGUGCCGUGCCUAUCUAACCUGGCUCCAGCCUGGCUCCUGAACCCGACACCCCCACCUGGCUGAGCCCCCUCCCACAGACGCGAUGAGCACCCUCUGGGCUUGCCCUGGGACAGGGCAGUUCUCCCCUGUUAUUUUUGUCUUCAAUGCACACUGCUGUUGGCAAAAGUACCCAAAUCAGAAAUAAGGCAAACAGAGGGUAGAGUAUCCUUUCGACAUCAUAUCCUAUGUGCUAUUCACGGCCCACCAAGAUUACUUGCUGGUCUAGGAUAAUGUGCCUUGAUUUGACUGUUCACUGAGGAUUAACACCUGGGACGUAGGGAGGACACACGUAACUCCAUGGGCAUUUUGUCUGGUUGUGAAUGAUUCCUGUAGAGAAGAUAACUCCACCAGCUGUGGUUUCCCAGCCCUGCAGGACACCACCCAGGUUUUGCCUGUGCUGUGGAAGCCUCGCUGGGCCACCCUUUCCCAGAAGCCUGGAUGCUCUGCACCAGCCCUGCUGUCCUGCUGGCCCUCCCUGGUGGGCUGUGCUCAAGCUCCUUCCCAUGGUGUGGGGCCCCCUCCCUGUGGGUCUGUGGGCCACACUGUUUCCUCUGACUUGCCACCAACACUCCGACGGUGGGGGUCAGCCCGUGGUCAGGUUCCAGCCUCCGACGCUGGUUUAGGGAACACCCUGCCCUUCCCGGGCCCUUACCCGCCACUGGAUCAGGACAGAGGAGGUGGUGUGCGGCGUCACAGAGAUGAAGCUUGGAGGCUCUCCCGGAACUGGAACCCGAAAAAGAAGAAAGCGAGGAUUAGCUGGGUCUGCUUGUACUUGCCCGCUGUUCUGGAGCCAGCUCUCUUUCUGUUCUGGCAAGGAGGCAGGGCCCAGGCCUGGCAGGGGAGGGGGACUCGGGAGGCCAGCACCAACAUCCCCGCCUCCCUCCCUCCUUCUCCCUUCCAUGAAUGCCCUUGUCCACCUGCAGAGCCUAUGCCCACCUGGGUGGAAGGGACCUGAUCCUGGGGAAGGUGACAACAUAAUGCCCUGCCUUCACCCCCUUCAAACCCGACUGCACCCCCUGGCAGACCCACACAGAGACACACAAAGGUGCUUGGCUCUCCUCCCUGGGGACCCUGCCUAGGGAGCCCCCUGCUGUCGCAUAGCUUCUCAGCGGCCCACAUCCCUCUCUCCAGGAGAGGCAUCAUGUUUUUGAGGAACGUAGUUCAGAGAGGCUCUGAGCAGGACAAAGGAUCAAGCCAGGCCAGAGUGCUCUGGCUUCAUACUCUGGACGUGACUGCCAUGGAGGGAAGCUGACUGCUGGGGGUUGGGGGACGCUUGCUGAGCUUGGGCAUCGGUGGAGGCUCUACUCUGCUCUCUGGAGGGAUAAGGUCAGUUUGGCUCUGCCCGUGGAUAUACCCUGCAGGCUGGAAACUGCAAUCCUGCAGCCAUCCGUGCAUCUCGUCCAGUGGACCUCUCUGACACCCCCUCCCUACCACUGCUCCCACUGAACCUGUGUGGUCCUGGCUCAGCAUACUGGCUUGGCCUUUCUGUGGCUGCCUGCUGUAAGGUCCUGAGACUCCAAUAGUCAGUGGGUGCCGAGACCAAAGCUGCUCUUCCCACGCCCUCCGCACUCGACUACCUGAAACUUGGUCUCUCAGGCACCCGCACUGUGAGUCUCUUCUGCACCUGCCAGGGCACCUGGCCUCUGGGAGACACCUGCAUCAGCCGCACCUCCAGCCCUCCAUCCUGCCUUUUGGGGAGCCUCUACCUAAUGCACCCUGGCCUCCCACUCGUCUGUCUGAAGUCCACAGAGUAUCACGCAGGAUGACAAUUAUGGGGAGGGGUCUCAAUAUUCCAACCACCAUGAUAGGAAAAUGUUUAUCAGCAGACCAUCCAUCCAUUGAAAGCCCUCCAUCCUGUCCCCCCAGCCCAGAGCUCCCGGAGCCCUGCAGUCUGCCAGUCUCAUUGAAUCUGUGAUUCUGGAGACAAUACAGUGCAGACACAAUGCAGUCAACUGCAAAGAGAAAUUGCAAAUCUCAGAAGAGGGAGAUAACAGCAUAGGUUCAUCAAAAGAAAUGAUUUAAAUAUCAAAGGAUUAAGACAGGGCUUUGGGAGCCUGGAGUGGUCCUUGGAUGUUUUUUUCAAAACAGGCCAGUUCUGAGGGGGCUCUGUAAGGGCAAAGGGAGUCUGUGGUGUCCUGCUCACUGGCUUGCCAUUUCCUCAGUGACUCGCCAACAAAAUUAGCUUGUUGUGUUUGCUUCUUUCUUCUAAGAAUUAGUGCUUACUUCCAAAUAGAACCUCAGCUGUGUUAAAUGUAAGAUUAAAAUAUGAGCCACAAAGACAACCAUGGUUUCUCGAGGGGCCUGUCCAAGCGGCAGGUGCCCUGGCUGUGCAGCAGAGGAAUCUCUGCUCGAGGCCAAGAAGCUGCUGGAAGGGCUUCCGCAUCCUCAUCGGCUGGUUCCUCGCUCACCUGAGGCCUCAUGUUGUUGAGGCCAUGCUCCCAGGCUAUAAAAGAGGAAGAUGGAAACUUGGGGAAUUGGUACUCAGUGCUGUCGGGUGGUGAGGGCUGAGGCUCACAGCCUGGAAUCCAAGCCCCGGCAUCUGUUAAGCAAGAGCAAUCCUCCUGCCCUAAAAGUUGGGCCUACCACUGGGCGUGUUGGAUGCCGCUGGCUCCUGGUGCUAGGGCCUGGCAGGAUCAGCACCCAAAUUCACCAGGGAUCUUCAGGCCUGCUCCUCUGAGGUGGGAGACAGUGGGUAAAAACCACCUGGAGCUUUCAGGGGACCUCACCUCCAUCACUUACCUGUGCUUCUGUCAAAUGGGAUGAGAAAACAGAGGCUUGGUCGCAUGAAGUCCCUUGCCCUCUGCCAGAGGACCAGCCAUGGCUUGGCCAGGAUGGGAAGAGGAUCUUGCCCUGAGGCCGUCCCUCCACUGUACCCAAGACCGAGGUACUGAAAAGAUCUAUUAAGAACUCAAGAUUUGCAUCACAAAGAGCAAUGAAUAUAGAACCAUGCAUAAUAUCCUUGGCCAAAUUUACCUGCUUUUCACAUGACUUCAUUUUUAAAGAUGACACAGAAGAAGAAAAGAAAGAACUGGCCGUCUCCCAAUGGAGACGGGGCCAGCAUCCUGGCUUGAAUGGAAUCCCUCUUGUUCCACAUGUAAUCCCCUUCUGCCCCCGUGGUUGCGUUCAUAGUGUCCCCCGGGGAUGCUCAGAGGAACAGCAGGACCUGCUAUCAGUGGGUACAGGACCAUCGCCUGAGCUCACACUGCCGUUGUUGCCAUCCUAGUGACACCCAGAAUGUCCAUGUGGCUCUGGGCUCACGGGCCACCUCCUUCUCAACUGUACUGCAUUCCCACUAGGAACGGAUGCUGCCCUGCUGUCCCUCAACCCGGCGCCUCCCCUCCUGUCCCCACACCCACUAGAUGUGGGGACAGCCGCUCGAUGCAGAUUGUUAAACUUUUUGCUUUGAACUUUUGUUUAAACUUUCAUGCUUUCUGGUCAUUAGCAGACUUCAUGAAACUGGCAAAAGUAAAUCGUGAAAAAAAAAAACACAUAGAGAAAAAGAAGGAGAGAGCAGCUCUGCGGCUAUGGGAAUGGGAAGGAGGUCAUGUCGUGGCAAUGUGCAAAGCUCUGCUUUCCUGGAACGUGAUGUGUUCCUGCUGGCGGCCAGAGGGGGCCCUGGAGGGGCCCCACCACAGCUUCUCCCACACCAAAUCAAACGUCUGCCGGGAGCAUGGGCCCCUCCUUUCCAAUGUGAAGUCCCCUGCACUCCAUUGGUCUGUUUGCUUUUAGGAGGCCCCAGGAUAGAAAAGGCCACUGGAUUUUGUUUUUCUCCUUUCUUUCAGAUGGUUACACAAAGGAGUGAUGCUAUUUUUUUUUAUCCCUAAGCACAUUCUGAUGAAGCUACGCACCCAGUGCAACGGAGUGUGGUUUAUGAAGCCAUCUGGUCACUCUUGGCCAUGCCACCCGACCCUCAGGGCCUCCUGGGGGAACUCAGGGCUCUGGAGGGGGUGGUGCAAGGGGCUGAGAGCUGGGUCUCCCAGGUUGUGUGGCUGUCAUUCAGAGGGGGAGUGGGAUGCUGGUAGGAUCUGAGCGGGCAGAGUGGGACUACUUGGGAUUGCCUUCUGAGAUGGCAGCUGGGUCACUGCCAUCAGUAAUGGAGGCAAACCUUGGGCUCACAGAGCUGAGAGGACCAACAGGGUCACCCCUCCAUCUCUGUCUUCCACAGAAGAGGGAAUGAGGCUUCACAAGCUAACAUGGACUUUCCGCGGCCCCACGGCCACUGAUGGGCAGACAGGUGGUGAGGGCUUGCUGCCUAGGUGACAGCAACCGAUUCUUCACCAGCCACAGUGUGUAAGUUAGCUGGGUGGUCUGUGGCUGUGAGGCUUUGGGCUAUGGGCCAAGCAAAUGUCCCCAGAGCUGGGGACCCUGAGGGCCUCUGGCUGCCACCUGGGGGAGCACGCUCAGGACUACACCUCUACCUCCUCGUGUGCAAGGUCUGUGUGUCUGCAGGCCUGCUGCCGACAACGUAUAGGGCAGCACGCAGAAACUGCUUAAGAGGAGAGGCUGUCUAGCAUUGGGGUGGCAGCGGUAAUGAUAGUGACAAUCACAGUAACCACGGUGGGAAGAGCCCGUGGGAGCUUUAAUGCCCUGAGUUCCCAGACCAGGUCACAGAGGUGAGCAUCCAGUCCUCUUCUCCUCCGGUGAAGAGUGAAAUAAAAGAUGUAACUGUAACCAGUUUUCUAAAGGUCAACUCCCUCACCACCACACACAUCUGAGCUACUGUGGCCCCUUCUAGUGGGGAGCCAGACGGUGCCUCCAGCCCUGCUGGAAAGAGUACCUGUGCUUGGGACCUUUCGCCCUCCACUCAGAGGAGCCGUGAUGGAGGGGGUCACUGUGCACCGAGCAGAUUUGGGCCCCGAGCAGCUGGAGCUGUAAGCUGAUGAGCUGCCUUCCUUCUUGGACUGUCACCCUCUCUGAAGGCACAACCUGGGCAUUAGGUCCGGGAGCCGCGAUGGAGAUGCUGGGAGAUCCAAGCGAUCUGCUUGGGGCUGCCCCACCCGUGGAUGUGCUAUGAAGGUGAACGCUGGACACGUAGCCGUGCCUCCCGGGUGGGCAGUGUAGGGGGGCCGCCACGUCCUGGGCCUGGUGCCACCAGGCACCACACGGCCUCCAAAUGGUGCCACAACCCCGAAGGUGAGUGCCAAGGAGCUGCCUAAGACCACCACAUGGCAGGUGGCUGGAAACCAACCUGAGCCUGGAUAGUCUCCCUUCCCAUGAUGCCCCAGUGUGACAACCCACCUGUGCAUCACGCGUCACCUCAGUCACAUGCUUACGCGGAGCUCCUUUUCUCUAUAAACCUUGCUGUUGCCGUGUGUCAGACGCAGUGACAGAGCCAUGCAUCAGCCAGCCCUCACCCCUCCCUCACAGCCUGAACUGUGCCCAGGGUGGGAGUGGGGAUGCCUGAGGAUGCAGGCUGCUGCAGGAGCCCCCUGACCCCCUGCCGCCCCAGCUGCUCCACAACCCCCCUUCUGCUCAGGUUCAGCAGAGUGCAGAAGCAGAGCCUUGCAAAGGAGGAGGGUCAGGAGAUGCUGGGGCUGCAGUGAGUGUGACCCUUCUGACCCUCAGCUCUCCUCUGCAGAAUGGGGAUGAUGAUGUCCCCCACUGGGCCAUCAUGCAGGGUCAAUGAGAAACGUGUGUGAGAUUUCCCAGCACGGUGCCCAGGUUGGGGGGCAAUGAGUAUGUGUUCUGUCUGAAAGGUGAGAGGAACGCUGGCAGCCUGAGAAAUGGGGUCUUGGCCUCCUCCACCCUCCCCAUGGGAGCUACUGGCCAGGGUCCUGGAACCCUCGGAGCCAGUGGGACUCACUCCUCAGUGGCCCCCUCACAGCCUGAUGUGAGCUUCAUGGAAAGUGACCCAUGUCAGGGCCAGAGAAGGAGGACAGGGAAGACGCCCUGCCAGCUUCAUGGACAGGCCUGCCCACCGUUCAGACCCAGGGGGCUUCUGCAGGUGCUGUGAACCUGCACAGCCCGGGCCCCCCAGGGAGGGAUGCAGGGCCUGAGGUCACUUCUGAGAACUCUCACCUAGAUGGUUAUUUAGCCCUUGUCCCCCAGCAUAGAGGAGGUGCCUGGUCUCCCAUUGUAGAGGGGGGUACCCUCAUCCCCCAGCAUUGAGGGUGGUGUCCUAGUCUCUAACUAUAGUGGAGGUUGCUAUAGACUCCCACCAUAGAGGGGGUGCCCUGGUCCCUCACUGUAGAGGGGGUGCCCUUGUCCCCCAGCAUAGAGGGGUUGCCCUGGUCUCCCACUGUAGAGGGGGUGCCCUCGUCCCCCAGCAUAAACGGCAGUGCCCUGAUCUCUAACUAUAGAGGGGGUGCUCUGGUGUCCCACUGUAGAUGUGGUGUCCUCAUCCCUCACUGUAAAGGAGGUUGUCUUCUUCCCUCACCGUAGAGGGGGUGCCCUCAUCCCUCACUGCAGAGGGGGGUGCCCUAGUCUCCUACCAUACAAGGGGGUGCCCUUGUCCUUCACUGUAGAGCGGGGUGGGGAAUGAGAAGGGGCCUAAAUAAGACCGUGGGUGCCAAGAGCUCAGCUGUGGUGGUCAGCAUCACUCCCCUCUGCCUUUGCCUGGUGGCUCACUCAGUAACUGGAUAAAUGCUGGGUUCUCAUGGUGCAGUGGGGAUGCCCCUCCCAUGUCCCUGAUCGGCCAUCAUAGUGGAUGACAGCAGGAGGGGGAAUUAUCUGCCUUGUUGACUAAAAGAGAGAGCACAAGAGAAGGUGCAACCCUCUCAGCCCGUGACACCCCUUCCCCACACCUCCCCUCCUCCACAUCCGCCUCUUAGGGGAUAGGGUGAUGGAGCCUACAUGUCCAGGCUCACUGUCCCUGUCAUCUGUGCCUCAUCCAUCCCUGGGACCCGGAGUGUGCAAGCCGCCUGUCCAGGGCAUGCCUGGAAGGACAGACCCGGGGGAGGGGCCUGAGCAGGCUCCAGGAUGUGGCAAUCCUGGUCCCUGGCACUAGAGAGACGUGAGCGGUCAGCCUUCCCAGUCCUGGGCAGGAGCGGCAGGGCCCAUUCCCCGGGGCACGUCCGCCUGGCUCUGGGUACCUUUCGACAGCGCAGGCUGUGGCCUCGUGGCUGAUGGACGAGGAGUAGGUCUGCCACUCUCCGCGGGGCAGCUCUCGCACCUGCACCGUGAAGUAGCGAAUGGGGGAGGCCCCGUCGCUGCCCGGGACCCACUGGAGCCGGAGGCUGCGCGCAGUCACUUCUGCCUGGGGCACCAGGAGCUCCCGGGGGGGUGCCGGUCGCUCUGCAACCAGAAGAGAACAGACCAGGGACAGGUGAGGGGCUGCUGCUCCACAUGAGAUCCAGCAUGGGGACUGCCAGCUGCGCACGAGCUCAGACCAUACGGAGACGAUGCCCGGGCACCUGCAGCUCUCUCACUGCUCACCCUGGACCCACCCAGCUUGGAUUGGACUGGACGCUCUGGCUUGCUCCCCGAGUGCUGCUCUUGCAGAGACAGACAGACAGACAAGAGGGUGAGCCCACACAUGCUCCUGGACGGCCACACGUCCCUGCGGGCGUCACUGAGGACACCUGGGCUCUCCUGCGGACUUUCCCUCUGAUCACAGGCUCAGCGCAUCUGUCAGACUGACUUCCUCUCCCCAGAAGCCAACUGGAGCCUGAACAACCACAGUGUCCUGCUCAGCUCCUCCAGGGGCUGUCGCCACUGCUCUGUGCCUACAGCGCUGGUGACUGGGAGCGCAGGAGUCUGGGACCAGGCCCCUGAGCAUGGAUCGUUACUGUGGUGCGUCUCCUCACCCCAUCGAUUUCAAGAGGGAAACUCCACAGAGGGAGGAAUAAUUGUUUAAUUGUUUAUCAUGAAGAUUAUCGAUCCUGUUGAAAAUGUGU